rnacentral:rRNA from 1 species
CGGUGUGCUUAACACAUGCAAGUCGAACGAGAACAGAAGAGAGCUUGCUCUUUUGCUGCUAAGUGGCUCACGGGUGAGUAAUGUAUAGGUAAUAUGCCUCUUACUAAGGGAUAAUUGAUGGAAACGUCUUGUAAUACCUUAUAUGCCUUUUGAACAUAAGUUCGUAAAGGGAAAGAUUUAUCGGUAAGAGAUUAGCCUGUAUGGUAUCAGUUUGUUGGUGGGGUAAUGGCCUACCAAGACUAUGACACCUAACUGGUUUGAGAGGAUGAUCAGUCACACUGGAACUGAGACACGGUCCAGACUCCUACGGGAGGCAGCAGUGGGGAAUAUUGCACAAUGGAGGAAACUCUGAUGCAGCAACGCCGCGUGGAGGAUGACGCAUUUCGGUGUGUAAACUCCUUUUAAGAGGGAAGAUAAUGACGGUACCUCUUGAAUAAGCACCGGCUAACUCCGUGCCAGCAGCCGCGGUAAUACGGAGGGUGCAAGCGUUACUCGGAAUCACUGGGCGUAAAGGGUGCGUAGGCUGACUUUUAAGUCAGGCGUGAAAUCCAAUGGCUUAACCAUUGAACUGCGCUUGAAACUGGGAGUCUAGAGUUCAGAAGGGGCAGAUGGAAUUAGUGGUGUAGGGGUAAAAUCCGUAGAUAUCACUAGGAAUAUCAAAAGCGAAGGCGAUCUGCUGGGAUGAUACUGACGCUGAGGCACGAAAGCGUGGGGAGCAAACAGGAUUAGAUACCCUGGUAGUCCACGCCCUAAACGAUGAAUGCUAGUCGUCGGGGAGCUCGUCUCUUCGGUGAUGCACUUAACAGAUUAAGCAUUCCGCCUGGGGAGUACGGUCGCAAGAUUAAAACUCAAAGGAAUAGACGGGGACCCGCACAAGUGGUGGAGCAUGUGGUUUAAUUCGAAGAUACACGAAGAACCUUACCUGGCCUUGACAUGGUAGGAACCCUUAAGAGAUUAGGGGGUGCUAGCUUGCUAGAACCUACACACAGGUGCUGCACGGCUGUCGUCAGCUCGUGUCGUGAGAUGUUGGGUUAAGUCCCGCAACGAGCGCAACCCUCGUCCUUAGUUGCUAACAGUUCGGCUGAGCACUCUAAGGAGACUGCCUUCGCAAGGAGGAGGAAGGUGAGGACGACGUCAAGUCAUCAUGGCCCUUACGGCCAGGGCUACACACGUGCUACAAUGGGGCGUACAAAGAGCUGCAAUACCGCGAGGUGGAGCCAAUCUCUUAAAGCGUCUCUCAGUUCGGAUUGUUCUCUGCAACUCGAGAACAUGAAGCUGGAAUCACUAGUAAUCGUAGAUCAGCUAUGCUACGGUGAAUACGUUCCCGGGUCUUGUACUCACCGCCCGUCACACCAUGGGAGUUGAUUUCACCCGAAAUCGGGAUGCCAAACUGGCUACCGCUUACGGUGGAAUUAGCGACUG